GACAGAGGGUGCGAACGUUGCUCGGAAUUACUGGGCGUAAAGCGCGUGUAGGCUGGUGCGUGUGUCGGGUGUGAAAUCCCCAGGCUCAACCUGGGAACUGCAUCCGAAACUGCGCGCCUUGAGUGUCGGAGAGGAAAGUGGAAUUCGUGGUGUAGAGGUGAAAUUCGUAGAUAUCAUGAGGAACACCGGUGGCGAAGGCGGCUUUCUGGACGACAACUGACGCUGAGACGCGAAAGCGUGGGGAGCAAACAGG
rnacentral:rRNA from 1 species